GGAUGCGAUCAUACCAGCACUAAAGCACCGGAUCCCAUCAGAACUCCGAAAUUAAGCGUGCUUGGGUGAGAGUAGUACUAGGAUGGGUGACCUCCUGGGAAGUCCUCGUGUUGCAUUCC
rnacentral:rRNA from 1 species